UACGCGUGACGAGCGUCAUGUGCUGCAAUUUACAAAAAAUACUGGGGGCUAUUUCUAGGCUGCUUUGGACCCAGUUUCAGGCCCGAAAAUACUGAUUAGAGGCUGCAUAGUGGAGCUGGAAGGGGAGACACUUUACAUUCAUUCAGAA